rnacentral:rRNA from 1 species
AAUCUUCCGCAAUGGACGAAAGUCUGACGGAGCAACGCCGCGUGAGUGAUGAAGGCUUUCGGGUCGUAAAACUCUGUUGUUAGGGAAGAACAAGUGCUAGUUGAAUAAGCUGGCACCUUGACGGUACCUAACCAGAAAGCCACGGCUAACUACGUGCCAGCAGCCGCGGUAAUACGUAGGUGGCAAGCGUUAUCCGGAAUUAUUGGGCGUAAAGCGCGCGCAGGGGGUUUCUUAAGUCUGAUGGGGAAGCCCACGGGUCAACCGUGGAGGGGCAUUGGAAACUGGGAGACUUGAGUGCAGGAGAGGAAAGUGGAAUUCCAUGUGUAGCGGUGAGAUGCGUAGAGAUAUGGAGGAACACCAGUGGCGAAGGCGACUUUCUGGUCUGUAACUGACACUGGGGCGCGAAAGCGUGGGGAGCAAACAG